rnacentral:rRNA from 1 species
GACGAACGCUGGCGGCGUGCUUAACACAUGCAAGUCGAACGCGGAAGCUCAGCUUUUGUUGGGUGGAUGAGUGGCGAACGGGUGAGUAACACGUGAGUAACCUGCCUCCUUCUUUGGGAUAACGCCCGGAAACGGGUGCUAAUACUGGAUAUUCACUGGUCUUCGCAUGGGGGUUGGUGGAAAGGGUUUUUCUGGUGGGGGAUGGGCUCGCGGCCUAUCAGCUUGUUGGUGGGGUGAUGGCCUACCAAGGCUUUGACGGGUAGCCGGCCUGAGAGGGUGACCGGUCACAUUGGGACUGAGAUACGGCCCAGACUCCUACGGGAGGCAGCAGUGGGGAAUAUUGCACAAUGGGCGCAAGCCUGAUGCAGCGACGCCGCGUGAGGGAUGGAGGCCUUCGGGUUGUGAACCUCUUUCGCUCAUGGUCAAGCCGCAACAAUGGUUGUGGUGAGGGUAGUGGGUAAAGAAGCGCCGGCUAACUACGUG